UACGUAGGGGGCAAGCGUUGUCCGGAAUCAUUGGGCGUAAAGAGCGCGUAGGCGGUCCGGUAAGUCCGCUCUGAAAGUCCGGGGCUCAACCCCGGGAGGCGGGCGUAUACUGUCGGGCUAGAGUCCGGAAGAGGCGAGUGGAAUUCCUGGUGUAGCGGUGAAAUGCGCAGAUAUCAGGAGGAACACCAAUGGCGAAGGCAGCUCGCUGGGACGGUACUGACGCUGAGGCGCGAAAGCGUGGGGAGCAAACAGG
rnacentral:rRNA from 1 species